rnacentral:rRNA from 1 species
UAGAGUUUGAUCAUGGCUCAGAGUGAACGUUGGCGGCGUGCCUAACACAUGCAAGUCGAACGAGAACCAAGAAGCUUGCUUUUUGGGGAAAGUGGCGAACGGGUGAGUAACACGUGAGUAACCUGCCCUCGAGUGGGGAAUAACUUCGCGAAAGCGAGGCUAAUACCGCAUAAUAUUUCGAAACACAAGUUUUCGAAAUCAAAGCUUUCGAGCGCUUGAGGAUGGGCUUGCGUCCUAUUAGCUAGUUGGUGGGGUAAUGGCCUACCAAGGUGACGAUGGGUAGCCGGCCUGAGAGGGUGAUCGGCCACACUGGAACUGCGACACGGUCCAGACUCCUACGGGAGGCAGCAGUGGGGAAUUUUGCGCAAUGGGCGAAAGCCUGACGCAGCGACGCCGCGUGGAGGAUGACGGCCUUCGGGUUGUAAACUCCUGUCAGAGGUGAAGAAAAUCUUCGGAUUGACGGUAACCUCAGAGGAAGCCCCGGCUAACUACGUGCCAGCAGCCGCGGUAAUACGUAGGGGGCAAACGUUGCUCGGAAUUACUGGGCGUAAAGGGUGUGCAGGUGGCUGAGAAAGUCGAUGAUGAAAUCCCGAGGCUUACCUUCGGAACUGUCAUCGAAACUGCUUGGCUUGAGGAUGGUUGAGGAAGACGGAAUUCCCGGUGGAGCGGUGAAAUGCGUAGAUAUCGGGAGGAACACCAGAGGCGAAGGCGGUCUUCUGAGCCAUUCCUGACACUGAGACACGAAAGCUAGGGGAGCGAACGGGAUUAGAUACCCCGGUAGUCCUAGCUGUAAACGAUGGGCACUAGAUGUUCUCGCUUAUUGCGGGAGUGUCGAAGUUAACGCGUUAAGUGCCCCGCCUGGGGAUUACGGUCGCAAGGCUGAACUCAAAGGAAUUGACGGGGGCCCG